AACAGGAUUAGAUACCCUGGUAGUCCACGCCGUAAACGAUGUCUACUUGAAGGUUGUGGCCUUGAGCCGUGGCUUUCGGAGCUAACGCGUUAAGUAGACCGCCUGGGGAGUACGGUCGCAAGAUUAAAACCCAAAUGAAUUGACGGGGGCCCGCACAAGCGGUGGAGCAUGUGGUUUAAUUCGAUGCAACGCGAAGAACCUUACCUACUCUUGACAUCCAGAGAACUUUCCAGAGAUGGAUUGGUGCCUUCGGGAACUCUGAGACAGGUGCUGCAUGGCUGUCGUCAGCUCGUGUUGUGAAAUGUUGGGUUAAGUCCCGUAACGAGCGCAACCCUUAUCCUUGAUUGCCAGCACGUAAUGGUGGGAACUUCAGGGAGACUGCCGGUGAUAAACCGGAGGAAGGUGGGGACGACGUCAAGUCAUCAUGGCCCUUACGAGUAGGGCUACACACGUGCUACAAUGGCGCAUACAGAGGGUUGCCAACUUGCGAAAGUGAGCGAAUCCCAAAAAGUGCGUCGUAGUCCGGAUUGGAGUCUGCAACUCGACUCCAUGAAGUCGGAAUCGCUAGUAAUCGUGAAUCAGAAUGUCACGGUGAAUACGUUCCCGGGCCUUGUACACACCGCCCGUCACACCAUGGGAGUGGGCUGCAAAAGAAGCAGGUAGUUUAACCUUCGGGGGGACGCUUGCCACUUUGUGGUUCAUGACUGGGGUGAAGUCGUAACAAGGUAACC
rnacentral:rRNA from 1 species